CCAGAGCCGUGGGGCUGGGCUGGUGGGGAGAGGUCUGAGCUGCCUCUGCCUCCUUGGUCUCCGGCAG
rnacentral:miRNA from 1 species